UACGUAGGGUGCAAGCGUUAAUCGGAAUUACUGGGCGUAAAGCGUGCGCAGGCGGUUUUGUAAGUCUGUCGUGAAAUCCCCGGGCUCAACCUGGGAAUUGCGAUGGAGACUGCAAGGCUAGAAUCUGGCAGAGGGGUAGAAUUCCACGUGUAGCAGUGAAAUGCGUAGAGAUGUGGAGGAACACCGAUGGCGAAGGCAGCCCCCCUGGGUCAAGAUUGACGCU
rnacentral:rRNA from 1 species